UGCAUCUCUCUCCUAUUGCCUCCCUCUCCUACUACCCACGUUCUUCCCCCUAAUCGAUUUCAAAAUUCAAAAAGCCCCCUCUCGAGAUCCCUCAGUAAACCCAGUCGAGAUUCACAUCUCUAUCCUAACUCAAUAAACUCUUUCUAUUUUUUUAGGAAAACCACCCCAACCCCUCCUCAUACCGUCCCACGUUCUCUCUCCCUCUCUCCCUCUCUCACAUUCCCCAUUUUGUUGAUUACAGGAAAAUGCAAGAAGCAAUCAAGAGCAAAAUCAACUCCUCCUUCAUCUUCAAUGGCAUCCUCCGCCUCCUCUACUCCGCCACCGCUAUUACCGCCUCUGCCACCGUCGGCAGCGAAGAAGAGUUUCCUUCGCCGGGUCCUCCCCUUUCUCCUCACCGCCAAUCUCGCCGUUGGAGGUAAAAAAAUUUACAAUUUUAAGGGUUUUAAUUCAACUCCUUGGUUCUUAUUGCAGUUUCAAAAAUGAAGAGCAAUGAAAGCGAGAAGCAAUCAGAUUAUUUUAACUCCCACGUCUAGGCCAACUUCUCCCUUAAGCAAUCAUCGAGGAAUUCAACGGAUCUAAGAAGCGGAAGCGAGACUCUUCGUCUCUAUCCAAGAAAGGCAAGCCCUUUGGAUCCAAACCCGCUAAGUUCCAAUCCACUGGCAGAUCUAAAAAGGAUCCGAAAUCUUUCAAAUCGAAACCCAUUAAGACCUACGAUGCCUUCGAGAAGAAGGAGCCCACAACCCCAAGAGAGAAGUGAUUAUCUACUAAGGAAAUGGCUAAGGAGGGGAAGAAGAAGAGGAAGCCCAAUUACAAUAUUGACGAUCCUGUUGGGGAUUCAGGCUCGCUCUCAGAAACUGGGACUCUCAUAUCAGGAGAUUUUGAUGGGCUGGUAUUUUCAAGAUUAAUUCGAUCAUUAUGUGGUUAAAUAAGGCAUUUGAUCGGUUGCAUUUAUGUAAAAGGGGAAGUUUUUCUAUUAACUUGGGGCAAAUGUAGCAAAUAUUGCAUGUAGAAAAUGUUCCAUGUGGCAUUUGUUAUAGGAAAUUAGUCUGAAAUAUGUCAGUUAAAUGUUUGCAAUUUGUUGUAGGAAAUAUGCUUCUGAGUGUAAAAUUUUGGUGUUA